GGCCUCGUAGCUCAGUGGUUAGAGCACUAGUCUGUUAAAUCAGGGGUUGUGGGUUCGUAUCCCACUGGAGCCU